AACCCAUGUUGAGGACAUUUCUGUAGGAGCUCCUUGAACCUAUCCCAUGUCUAAAAAAGAGACUCCAAUUCCAUUUUUCAUAAAAGAAGAUAUCUCAUUCCUAAGCAU